rnacentral:tRNA from 1 species
GACCGAAUAUAGGUGAUAAACUGUAAAUUUAUUUAUGAAAUUAUAUUUCUUUUGCCA